rnacentral:rRNA from 1 species
GAUGAACGCUGGCGGCGUGCCUAAUACAUGCAAGUCGAGCGAACAGAUAAGGAGCUUGCUCCUUUGACGUUAGCGGCGGACGGGUGAGUAACACGUGGGUAACCUCCCUAUAAGACUGGGAUAACUUCGGGAAACCGGAGCUAAUACCGGAUAAUAUUUCGAACCGCAUGGUUCGAUAGUGAAAGAUGGUUUUGCUAUCACUUAUAGAUGGACCCGCGCCGUAUUAGCUAGUUGGUAAGGUAACGGCUUACCAAGGCGACGAUACGUAGCCGACCUGAGAGGGUGAUCGGCCACACUGGAACUGAGACACGGUCCAGACUCCUACGGGAGGCAGCAGUAGGGAAUCUUCCGCAAUGGGCGAAAGCCUGACGGAGCAACGCCGCGUGAGUGAUGAAGGUCUUCGGAUCGUAAAACUCUGUUAUUAGGGAAGAACAUACGUGUAAGUAACUGUGCACGUCUUGACGGUACCUAAUCAGAAAGCCACGGCUAACUACGUG